UACGAAGGGGGCUAGCGUUGCUCGGAAUGACUGGGCGUAAAGGGCGCGUAGGCGGAUGGCACAGUCAGAUGUGAAAUUCCCGGGCUUAACCUGGGGGCUGCAUUUGAUACGUGUGAUCUAGAGUGAGGAAGAGGGUCGUGGAAUUCCCAGUGUAGAGGUGAAAUUCGUAGAUAUUGGGAAGAACACCGGUGGCGAAGGCGGCGACCUGGUCCUUGACUGACGCUGAGGCGCGUAAGCGUGGGGAGCAAACAGG
rnacentral:rRNA from 1 species